CGUCGCCACGGUAAUACGGAGGGUGCGAGCGUUAAUCGGAAUUACUGGGCGUAAAGCGUACGCAGGCGGUUUGUUAAGUCAGAUGUGAAAUCCCCGAGCUUAACUCGGGAACUGCAUUUGAAACUGGCAGGCUAGAGUCUCGUAGAGGGGGGUAGAAUUCCAGGUGUAGCGGUGAAAUGCGUAGAGAUCUGGAGGAAUACCGGUGGCGAAGGCGGCCCCCUGGACGAAGACUGACGCUCAGGUACGAAAGCGUGGGGAGCAAACAGGAUUAGAUACCCCUGUAGUCCCUGUCUCUUAUACA
rnacentral:rRNA from 1 species